UCCUCUUACAAAGGCGCACUUGCACUGGUUUGCUUGUCUGUGCGUAAGAACUGGAGGAAAAGCAAAAUGAACAGUGACGACUUUUCUCUGGCUGCACUUGCAGUUGACCUGCGUCUGUUCAGAUAUUUCAAUUCAA
rnacentral:snoRNA from 1 species